rnacentral:misc_RNA from 1 species
CCAAUAGCGUAUAUUAAAGUUGUUGUGGUUAAAAAGCUCGUAGUUGAACCUUGGGCCUGGCUGGCCGGUCCGCCUCACCGCGUGUACUGGUCCGGCCGGGCCUUUCCCUCUGUGGAACCUCAUGCCCUUCACUGGGUGUGACGGGGAAGCAGGACUUUUACUGUGAAAAAAUUAGAGUGCUCCCAGCAGGCCUAUGCUCGAAUCCAUUAGCAUGGAAUAAUAAAAUAGGACGUGCGGUUCUAUUUUGUUGGUUUCUAGGACCGCCGUAAUGAUUAAUAGGGACAGUCGGGGGCAUCAGUAUUCAAUUGUCAGAGGUGAAAUUCUUGGAUUUAUUGAAGACAAACUACUGCGAAAGCAUUUGCCAAGGAUGUUUUCAUUAAUCAGUGAACGAAAGUUAGGGGAUCGAAGACGAUCAGAUACCGUCGUAGUCUUAACCAUAAACUAUGCCGACUAGGGAUCGGAUGAUGUUAAUUUUUUAAUGACUCAUUCGGCGCCUUACG